rnacentral:rRNA from 1 species
UACGGAGGAUGCGAGCGUUAUCCGGAUUUAUUGGGUUUAAAGGGUGCGUAGGCGGGCUUUUAAGUCAGCGGUAAAAAUUCGGGGCUCAACCCCGUCCGGCCGUUGAAACUGGGGGCCUUGAGUGGGCGAGAAGAAGGCGGAAUGCGUGGUGUAGCGGUGAGAUGCAUAGAUAUCACGCAGAACCCCGGUUGCGAAGGCAGCCUUCCGGCGCCCUACUGACGCUGAGGCACGAAAGUGCGGGGAUCGAACAGG